rnacentral:rRNA from 2 species
UUAACGACUCUCGGCAACGGAUAUCUCGGCUCUCGCAUCGAUGAAGAACGUAGCGAAAUGCGAUACUUGGUGUGAAUUGCAGAAUCCCGUGAACCAUCGAGUCUUUGAACGCAAGUUGCGCCCUAGGCCGUCGGGCUGAGGGCACGCCUGCCUGGGCGUCACGC